GAGAAGAAAAGCAGUUGACAGCCAUUCUAGCAUCUGCAGUUGGGCUUCAGUUCAAGAAAAGUAACACUUGCUUUUAGCUUCUGCCUCUGUGCUACAGAGCUGCACUUAGAUAAAUUGAUGUCUUCCACAUCUUUAUUCAUUUUUACUUUCCAAUUGGCAGACUUUAUUUCCAAACCUCUUCAAGGAGAUAUAAAACUCAACUGAAUGGAGAAAACUUCUAACAGUGGCAUCAUUCAGGAUCUGAGUGCAAGCCCAGGAGAUCUCCCAUUACUCGAGGGAUCUGUUCACCAUUCUGAAGACUGGCACUAUCAACAGUCUACCAAUGGCAGCAACUGGUUUUACCUUAGGCUUAGUUUUAUAAGGUGAAAAAGUGACUGCCUUAUUAUUAAGGGCAACUCAUUACAUACAGACUUUAUAUAUUAUGAUUUGUGUAUAAGAGCAAUUUAAUGAUAUCUGUACUAUAAAAUUAUC
rnacentral:lncRNA from 1 species